rnacentral:rRNA from 1 species
GAUGAACGCUGGCGGCGUGCCUAACACAUGCAAGUCGAGCGAACAGACCAUGAUCUUGCUCCUCGCACGUGAGCCGCGGACGUGUGAGUAACACGUGUAUAAUCUACCUAUAAGACUGGUAUCAUUUCGGGAAACCGGCUCUAAUACCGUAGAAUAUCUUGAACCAUAUGGGGGAAUAGUAAAUUACGGCUGUUCUGUCUGUACUAGCUGGAUCCGCGCCGGAUUGGAUGGUUGGUGGGUUAACGGCUUUCCAAGGGGAGCAGGCGUAGCCGACCUGAGGGGGUGAUCGGCCACACUGGAACUGAGCCACGGUCCAGGGUCCUACGGGAGGCCGCAGUAGGGAAUCUUCGGCAAUGGGCGAAAGCAUGGCGGAGCGGCGCGGCGUGAGUGAUAACAGUGUUGGGUUCGUAAAACUGUGUUAUUAGGGAAGAACAAAUGUGUAAGGAAAUGUGGCCGUAUUGACGGUAACUAAUAAGAAAGCACCGGCUAACUACGUG